GUUGCGAGUGUAAACGCAAUUGCCAUUAAGAUAACCAUUACUAUUCCAGUCACGCCCUCUGCCCCUCUAGCCAAUUCAGCAUACGUGGGCUUUUGUUCUCCGAAGUCAUUUUUUAAAUACUUCUGGUAGUCAUCAUGAGAAGAAUUUAUCAGCUUCGGAAAAUCACAUGCAAGAUGGUUUCCAGCAUGGAGAAUAAUGCCAAUUACAAUUGCAGCCGCAAUAGUCUUGUGAAAAUUGAUGUUAUCGUCAAAGGGAACGAAGUAACCCAAUCUUGUGGAUCUGAGCCAGGUGAUGGUAUUUCUACACACAGGCAAGAGAAUGAGAGCCAUGUUGAGCUU
rnacentral:misc_RNA from 1 species